rnacentral:rRNA from 1 species
CCUACGGGAGGCAGCAGUGGGGAAUCUUGGACAAUGGGGGCAAGCCUGAUCCACCCAUGCCGCGUGUGUGAAGAAGGCCUUCGGGUUGUAAAGCACUUUCAGUAGGGAGGAAGGCUUACCGUUAAUAGCGGUGAGUACUUGACGUUACCUACAGAAGAAGCACCGGCUAAUUCCGUGCCAGCAGCCGCGGUAAUA